UAGCGGGUGCAGAUAUUCAUAUAUUCGUGUUCUGCCCAAUUAAUUUCUUUUGAAAUCGAUUGUUUUUACAGUCUGUGAACACGAAUAUAUGAAUAUCUGCACCCGCU